CCGCCCCUAGCCCGCGCCUCCGCCAACCGCCCCGCCCGCGCCGCCCCGCGUGCUCGAGACCCGGCGCGGGCCUGGCCCCCGGGGUCGCGGCGAGCGUCGCGCGGGCGACAGGCCCUGCCCUGCCCCGGUACUGCCGCAGGGAGGGCCCGGGCUGCGCCCCGAAACUGCCAGGCCCCAGGCGGGCCGCGCCCCGAGCUGGGGUGAGUCCCGCGGCCCCCGCCCCCCGUGAAUCCCGCGCCCCGCACACCCCGGGAGCUUCAGUACAGAUCGGGGCCGCCGGGGUCCCCCGGGGGUGCGGGCAGCGGCCACCGCCUCCCGAUCACGUGGGAGGGGGCACCGGCUCGCCCGCCGCACACGCGGGCCGGCCUCGGUGACGCUGACCACUCUGGUCCACCGAGGUGGCGCGUGUGGGCAUCGUGUGGUGCCCGUGUCUGAGGGCGUUCCGGGGAAACUGAGGCAAGGGAGGACUUGUAGCCCCGCCCCCGACUUAGGCAAGCUGGGCGAGACACCAUUGAUAACGAGGUCCGGGUGGAACUGGUUCGGGGCCCGGGAUGCAGAUGCCUUGGUCCCCUCCAGACAGGCGCGCGGGGCUGGGGUGGGUGGGGCGGGCGUCCUGCCCUUGUCCCCAUCGCACGGCGCUGGGAAGGAGCCCUGUCAGCCUUGGCAGGGUCGUGCCCGCACCUUGCGGUGCCCGCCCGCCUUGGUCGCUCCCUGGGUUCUGUGUGUGAGCUGCGGGGAUUGUUCAGUGUAGCGUUGGGCACCGGGGGCCGCGAGCUCCAAGGUCGCAGGGCCACCAGCUGGAGUCUGCGGAAGGGGGCGAGGUCCCACUCCCCACCGGGCGCCGCGCCCUGGUGCGCCCCCAGCCCCGCAAGCUCAGCUCCCCGUGUGACCCCAGCGGGCCAAGCAGCCUGCCGGGGCUCCCCGCGGUCCCCCAGGCCCGUGCCAGCAGGCACCUGGUCACCAGGCUGGAGACGGGGGCGCCGGGCCCGCCAUUGGCCUGGUCUCACCGGGGUGGCCAACGCGGCUGUCCCAGGUGUGCACCACCGGCCACGGGCGCGCGGGCUGCACCAUGGCCUGGGUGGCCACCCUGAGCCUCGCGGCCUCCCGCGGGUGGGGUGGGCGGGUCCCACGAUGUGGUGGCCCAGACUGAGAGUCGCGGGGACCGUGGGCGGUUUCGGUGACCGUCUCUCACGCCCCUGGCUACCCAAACCCCGGCUCUCUGUAGGGCGCCUUUGUGUGCCCGUGUGCCCGAGGCGCUGCCCUCAGGGACGGCUCCGUGAGGCCGCCGGCGGGGGCGCCUUGUCCCCCCGGCGCCGCGCGGGCCAGGUGCGGCUCAGGUGUGCGGGGGGAGGGCGCGGCGCGGCGCGCGGCCAUAUUUGGCGAUUUGGACCCGUGCGCGCUCCGCCCGCAGCCCGAGGCCCGCGGCCGCCCUGAGUCACGGGGGCGGACGUAACGGACGAGGCGCUCCUCGCCUUAUUUAGUCAAGCAGGCUACCCAUUGGCCCGCGGGACAAAGGGGCGGCGGUCCCGGCCGGUGCGCGCCGGAGACCCUCGGCCGAGCGCAGGGGCGCAGGACGCGGCCCUCCCCGGGGACCGCGGGGAGGGGCGGCCGGGCCUCGGACGCCGUGCGCGGGAUGGAGGGAGGGAGCGAGGCGCUGUGUGUGCGCGCUGGGAUGGUCCUGCUUUGCGGCCGGGCAGUGUGAGGCCUCACCCAAGGUCAGGUCCCGGCCGUCCCGACUGCUGCGGAAGUUGGCGGCCCCACCCCUCUGGGAGCCGGGCUGCAGCGCCUGCCUUCCCCGAGCCUGCAGGCCAGGGGCAGCGACUGCAGGUCGCCCAGGAGUGGGCGUGUUCUCCCGUCGGAGAGAGAGACUCAGGCUAGAGAAAUGAUAGGAAUUUUUUUCCCUGUGCUGGCUUUGUUCAGUUUUUAUUGUGACCUUGCUGCGUCUUAUUUCAUAUUCUGGUCGUUUCAUGGGUGAAAAAAAAAAAACAGUUCAAAGAGGUGAGGACUUAGGUUUAAUUCAGGCCGCCCCCACCCAGAAGCCCUCCCAUGAGUGCUGUGCAGCCCGUCAGUCCCCUCUGCCUGCGGCCACUUGGGAUGCUCCUUGGACUCCUGGUCACCUCUGUGCUUGGUACCGCGGUCCUCCAGCACGUGCUCCACCCACCUGGUACUUCCUUACUUCCUCCUAGCAGGCUGCCUUGUUAGGCAAAUGGAACAAGAAACUUGGUCCUGGGCCUCCAUGCUUGGUCUCUGCUAUUUCUGCCGGCAGGGAUGUCAGCCUAACCCUGAAACAGAAGAGACUGAAAAAGCUGUGAGAUUCAGGUCAGGUUUGGAAUGCUCGGCAGCAGGCUGGUCCCCACAGUGAGGUCUGCCUAGCUGUGACCCCACUCCAGGGCACUGAGGCUCUUGUGUGGAGUUCAGCCUCCAGCCCCACCCUCGAUUGCUGUGCCUCUGAGUACUGCUUGGCUUCCACCUCUGCACCUAAGGGGAGAGGUGUGUCCCCGGCUGCCUUGCCUUGUGAUUCCUGGGUGUCACCGGGUCAUACUGUCAUCGAGCCACCUAACAACCAUCAUUUCUCAGAAAAGAAAAGGCGUGAUUCACAGUAGACAAGGUCACAGAGCCGGAUGUGGCCUGGAGUGGAGGUUAGGACUCCGAGACCCUCCACACACACCUGAUCUCCCCACCGAGUCAAAGGUUUUAUUUUUCUUUCUCUUCUUUAUCUUUCGUGCUUGAUUUUUUUUUUUUUUUCCCGAGACAGGGUUUCUCUGUGGCUUUGGAGGCUGUCCUGGAACUCGCUCUGGAGACCAGGCUGGCCUCGAACUCACAGAGAUCCGCCUGCCUCUGCCUCCCGAGUGCUGGGAUCAAAGGCGUGCACUAUCUUGCCUCAUUGUCUUUUUUUGGUUUUUUGUUUUGUUUUGUUUUGUUUUCUCCCAGACAGGAUUUCUAUGUAUAACAUUCCUGGCUGUCCUGUCCUGGAACUCAUUCU
ensembl:lncRNA